rnacentral:rRNA from 1 species
UGCCAAGUACAAAUCACCACGAGUGCAUGUGAUCGCACAUGACCCCAGAAGCUAAGUAAAGUUGAGCCUGGUUAGUACGUGGAUGGGAGACUCUCUGGGAAUACCUUGUGUGGUAUGCUUGGGCU